AACUAUUUAUCAUCUUCCCUACUUUUCUUCUUCUCCUUUCAACCCUAGCGGCCGUUCAACAUUGUCGUCCAUUUUCUGCCAUCGAGCAGCGUCGUCCAACCAUCAGUUGUGCUCGUCAUUCUACGACCAUGCUCUAACGAAGCCCAUCUAAACCCAAUCUCCAUCGUAGAUGAAACGCGUUCAAAAUCGUUAAACCCGUUUCGAGUCGUCUCUGUCUUCGUCUCCGUUAAAGUCCAAAUGUCCACUGAUCUCCUCUCCAUCAACUUCUAUUCCAAUCGGAGAGCACAUCGUGGGUCUAGCCGUGCUCGUCUGUUCGUGUGCGAGUCGUUCUCCUCCAUCCAAGCUUGGUCGUAAGCUGUUGAGUCGAGUUCAACAUAGACCGAGUCAUGCGCUCUUCUCAAGUCGAUCUUCCUAGACCUGAGUAAAUUUUCCAUAUCUAAGUCGAGCCACUAUCUUUCUAAGCCAUUUUCUUUUAAGCCAUACUUGAGUGUUUUUCCUUGGUGAGUUUUAAUUGGGGUCAGGUAUACCCAUUAAAUAAUAAAAGAUUGGUCUAAAAUAAAUUUACUUUGUAUUAAAGUUGGAUUUUUCCUUGAAGCUGACAUUGGGGAAAGAGCGCUCAAAUUCCUAGAGUUUUCCACAAGUUCGGUUGGGAUUUAAUUCUAUAUUACUUGGUACAUACGUCGGAAAUAUGUUCCAAACGUCACAUCAGGAAUGGUUAUUACUGACGCAUGGAUGAUGUUAAUAUACAAACUCGGGAGUCAUUAUUUCCAACACAUAGCGGACGUCGAAACUGUGGACGUCGGGGAUGACUUGUUGCCGACGCAUUGAAGACGUUGGUAAAGGUGAUAUCUAGAGAAGAUUAUUCCCGAUGCCUUGUUGGUGAUGCAUCGAGAAUUUGUCUUCUAACGUGUUUCUUCUAAUGAUCGUACCGACAUCACUUUCUGCAUCGAGAAUUCAGUUUCCAAUGUCUUUACCACUUUCACCGAUGUAUUUAUGCGUCGGGAGUCCCUCCCACUUUUUGUAGUGUUAGACUGGUAGGUGCAUCCUUCGAGAUCACUAGACUGAUAUGUGCAUCCUUCUAGAUCCCUAGACUGAUUUGUGCAUCCUUCAGAAUCACUAGACUGAUUAUGUGCAUCCAACGGGAUCACUAGACUAAUUGACAUGUAUCCUACGGGAUCACAAGACUGUUAUGAUGCAAGACACCUAAUAAGAACCUAGCAGUUUUACCCCUAGCGGGACAAGUAGUGGGUCUCUUACUGGGUAUAUUUUUAUACUCACCCUUUUCAUGUUUACUUUUUGAAGUAAAGGUAAUACGAGAGGUAGAUCAGGGAGGGACAAGAAGGACUCGUGAACAUCAUAUGGGAAUCUUUAAAAAUGCUUCCACAUAACAUUUUGAUUGUUUUUAAGUUUUGAUGAUUGAAAUGAGUUUCAUCUUU